GGGAACUGAGGGCUGGUCCCCUGGGAAACACAGCACUUACAUCGCUCUGUAUGUGCAUCAUGUUCUUGGAUAGCUCCAGGUCCAUAGCGUCCGGCAGAAUUCUUCACCAGCUUCCCCUCCAUUUUGCCUCUGAGAGAAUGCUUGUUAGGGUUCAUGCCUGGAAUCCCUGUACUCAGAGGCUGAGGCAUUGAACUACUAUGCACUGGCCUCAGCUUUGUAAUUUCCCUAAGAAUCUACUCCACUGCCUUUUCAGUAUAUGCAAAGCCUACCAAUCCAGAUGUGGAGCUCUCAGCUAUCUUUCCAGCAUGGUGUCUACCUGCUUGUUCCCCACCACGCUUCCUGCCGUGAUGAUAAUGGACUAAACUUCUGAAGCUGAAAGCAGGCCCAAUAAAAUGUUUUUCUUAUUG